UUAAUCUGGCAACAUGCAAUGCAACCCUGAUAUAAGUGUUAGCCAAUCAAAAUAAAUCUUUUAAAAUUUUCAAUUACGGAAAUGUGAUGCUUCCAUGAAACGCACACAACGCCAAGCGUUUGGUCGAAAUUGGAUUUCAUUCGUAAUUUGACCGAGAACGGUUUGUGUCUGGCGUAAAUUUAUUGCUGUUGUUGCAACGAUUUCUAUUUUACAGAGAAACAAAAAAUAGUUUAAAGUGAACCCAAAGUUAAAGUAAUUCUGCAAGUUUACUGAAAGCCGUUGUAUUAAAUUAAUUUUCAAUACUUGGUACAUACACAAAUUUAUCGAUUUGUGUCAGCAAACACAUCGGAUCAGACGACGAAUUCACUAGUAUUGUGUCAGCCAACAUGGCGGACGACGAGCAAUUCUCGCUUUGUUGGAAUAAUUUCAACAGCAAUUUGUCGGCUGGUUUUCAUGAGUCGCUAUGCCGUGGUGACUUGGUGGACGUGACGCUAGCGGCGGAAGGGCAAUUUGUCAAAGCGCACCGUUUAGUUUUGUCUGUAUGCUCGCCCUAUUUUCGAAAAAUGUUCACACAAAUGCCGGCCAAUCAACAUGCUUUCGUUUUUCUCAAGGACGUAUCUCAUACAGCAUUAAAAGAUCUUAUACAAUUUAUGUAUUGUGGAGAGGUAAACGUGAAGCAAGAAGCAUUACCAGCGUUUAUUAGCACAGCCGAAGCUCUUCAAAUAAAAGGCUUAACAGAUAGCGAUCCUCCACCAUCGCAAUCGCCAGCGGAACCUUCCACACCUUCCCCUCAAAUUCAACAGAUAUCUUCGCCUCGCGUCCGCCAACGAACAUCAACUUCUCGCUCGUUUAAAAUAGAAUCUGUGGAAGAUUCUGGAGAUGAUAAACAAACUCAGAUUGUCAUACAAACUACGGCGGCUCCUGCAGCACAACAAGUCGUUGCUCAACCGCAAACACAACAUUUGCCGACUCAAAGUCAAACGCAUAUAGCACCUCAACAAAUCGCAACCACCACAACCGCCACUACUACAACCGUUGUUACGCAUAAGCGACCAGCGCGAAGUAUUGGAAGUGGGCCCCACAUUAAACGCACCAAAAGUACAAUUGAUCCGCUAGACACAACUGAUGUGUCGACCGGAACUCAACAACUAACUGUUCAAACAGCAGUUGUUGCUGCCCCUGCGCCUGAGACUAAAACACAAAUACAGCAACAACCAAGUGAGCCCGAAUAUAUAGACUUGCCAAUAGAGUUGCCUACGAAAUCUGAACCAGACUACGCAGAAGAUGCUGGUGACGUAGAAGGAGGCGAAAAUGAGGCCACUUAUGUAGAAGAUGAUUCUUAUGGAGAGCUUAGGUAUGACGAAAGCUAUUUUACUGAAAAUGACGAUACACCUGCAGGUGCGACGACGGUACAAACUGGAACAGGUUCAGGUGGUGGUGUGAAUGCAACAACAUCAAAAGCUUUGGUGAAACAGCAACAAUCAUCAUUCACCGACACAUCGUACGUGGACGUGGCCGACCAAGGAAACAGUGACGCACAAGAUAAAGAUAUAUAUGAAGAGGAGAUCUAUUUACAACCAACAAUUCUACAUGAGCCAACCGAACGGGCACCUAUACAGCAACUGCAUACACAUAACGCCUUUGAGGGUCCCGUUUUUGUAGUGAGCAAAUAUGGUACAAGGCAACUGGUGCUGAAGCAACACACAUUCAAUCGGCACGUUAGCCGUGAAGAGGUCACAUAUUGGCGCUGUAGCCAAUUUGCUGUAUUGCGUUGCCGUGCGCGUAUCAAGACAAAGGGAAACACAUUAACGGUGUUGAAUAGUGAACAUAAUCACGAGGUUAUUACAAAAGCUCGAAAGUAUGGAUCACUUAAAGCAGCUGCAGCGGCGGCAGCUGCAAUGUCAUCAAAUAAUACUACUCCGGUUGCUGGCAAGACCGAACAGUUAAUUACUUUUCCUAUAUAACGGGAUUUCGUGGUAGCCGCAAGCUGAAGGUGGGCGACUAUAGCUUUACGCGCAACAAAUCGUCUGGCUCGAAAACGUACUGGUCCUGCGCACGCGCAGGUAUACACAAGUGUAAAGCGCGCGUUGUGACGAUAGAUGAGGAUUGCCGACACGAUGUUAUAGUCAAAUGCGAGCAACAUAAUCACCCGCCAUUUUAAGCCACAACAAACCGCAGCAAGGAAUAAAAUACAGAUUUUGUUUCUUCACUUAGAUGGAUAUUUUUUUUGAACUGAAUUAAUUUAUUUUAUUUUAAUUUCAUUAGAGAAGAAUGCAAAUAAAUUUAAAGCUAAAUAUAUGAAUACAAUUUUUGACCGACAAAGAAAAAGAAAACAUUAAUAGUCAAAUAACCAAAAUUAAUGGCGUCAUUGUUCUAAUAUGAACUAGCGGACAUGAGUGUGCGUGAAAGCUUGCUCUCAUUCACGUUGGGACAGCGUGGCUGCACCUUACUAGUUUUCAAGGGUUACAAUUAUGUACGAAAUCGACGUAGCGGUCUGAAGACUUAUUGGAUAUGUGCGAAAAAGGGCAGCACCAAGUGUAAUGCACGCGUGGUCACUGAUGUUGUUGAUGGUGUGCAGAAAAUUGUGUUGGAGUCUUGUCGACACAAUCACGCACAAAAAGUAGCACGCAAAAAGCGCAAAACAUCGAUAGAGCAGUCAGCGAGCACAAUUUUAAGUAGUAUUGCCGAUUCAAACAAAUGCGUUGAAGUACAUAUGAAAAACGAAAUCUUGAACAUUGCGCCCAAUGCAGCUUUCACAUAAAGAAAUUAAUAUUCGUUGUGAACUAUAGAUUACUUCAAUGCAUGUUAAAUUGCAAAACCAAAAGACUUAUUGAAAAUACACUUUCAAGCACAUACAUACAAAACUAAACACCAAAUGUUAUAUUUCUGCUAAGCCGUUUGUGUUUAACGCUUCUCAAAUUCGAGUACGGAAUAUUGUAAUAGGAUGCUUCUAUUCACAUUUACUCAUCGCAUAAGCAUAAAAGUUAAUGAUAUUAAUUUAUACUAAAUUUUGCAGAAAUCGCUACUUUCAGUACCGGCCAACGCGGAUGCACAGUACUCGUUUAUGGAAAUCAAAAGUUCGUGAAGAAUCGCAAAUCAAGCACGCGCACCUACUGGAUCUGCUCAAAAAAGGACGUUACUUGGUGUAGGGCACGCGUGGUGACAGCGCGUGAUAAGCAAGGCACUGAACGCAUACUUCAUCGCACUUUCGAACAUAAUCACACACGAAAAUAUCCUCGUAAUCAGACUGGAGUGCAGCGAACUGAACUUUUUCUUAAAGAUCUUAUGUCGUUGCGCAGUUAGAAGUUGUGUUCCCAAAUAAAAUGUAUUAGCUGAUCGGUUAAAGUUAUAAUUUUUGUUUAAAUGUAUUUAGGAUGUUGAAUAAAUAAUUGUAUUUAUGAUUGUAAAAAUUACAGAUUAAGAUUGCUCUGUUCAUAUAUUUGUUAUAAAUACUAAUUGAAGUAAUUUGUGUUCCUUUUCUAUAACGGUCACUGUCUCUUCUUUGUCUUUGCUGUUAAUUUCAGAUUCAAUGAGAACUUUUCAGUAUAGCAUAACGAAUUGUAAAUUUGAGAUGCCUUGCAGCGAUGAGAGUUUCUUGCCAAUAUUUACGACCUUGCACGAUACAAAAAAUAUUAGCGUCGAAGGCAAAACGCUUAAAGUUAAAACUGGCUUGUCAAAACGUAAACCGUCGUUUCUGGAAAAUCGUACCUUGGAUGACUGGGGCGCUAUCAAAUAUAGCACCACAUCGAGAGGCAACAAGCUACUGUCAUAUGAAGGUCAUCGUUUCAUCAAAAACAACAUCUACGGCACGAAGGUGUAUUGGAAGUGCACAAAGUGGCAUAGCAACUGUAAGGCACGUGCAAUCACUAGUUUCGCGGCGCCAACACGUUGCGUUAUAAAAGGCGUGCACAACCAUUCGAUUGUGAAGGAGGAAUAAUUUCGACUAUAAACUACUUACUACUUAAUAACGGCAAUGGCGGUGCAUGUGGAAAAUGCAAUACAAAUGCAUAAACGUCAGCUAAGUUUAUAUUACAUACAUAGUUUUUUAUGUAUGUUGAGUAAUCGCUUUGAACAUUCAUGCCAUUUAAUUCAAUAAUUUUUUAUAAUACAAUUAAAAUAUUUAGAAAAAAGACUAUGGGCAAAAAUACGCUUGUACAACAACGUUAUUUUUUAUUAUAUAUAACUACAAUAAACAUAUUGUUUGUAUCAAACGUUUUUGAUUUAUAAAUCUUAGCAAAAAAUCGAAUGUCCCAACUACUAAUUUUAGUUUGCUCAAAGUCGAUUUCACAAUGAAGAUAUAUUUUUACAUUUUUUUUUGUAUUAUUAAAAGCUAGUUAUAGCUUAUAGCUAUAAUAACUUUAGCCACAUUGAACUAUAAGCGCACACUGUGAGUUUAACUUUACUUGGUUAAGUUUUUAAUGAAUUUUACUUCUAUAUAGCUUUAGUGCACUACAUAAUGGUAAUAUUUGUAUUUGUAUUUCGUAUAAAAUUUUUUAUUUAUAGUUAAUUAGUAUAUCCUACUAACCGUUUGUUAUUUUUUUUUUUACAGGUUUUCAAAUCGAUUUUAUUGAUUCGAAAAAGAAUGGUGGAAAAUUGUUGGUUAUAAAUGGAUUUCGCUUCUUUCGUAACAAGAAACGUGGUUCCCGCCAGUAUUGGAAGUGCAGUAAUUAUUACAAAGAGAAAUGUCCCGCCAUUGCGAUAUACGAUGAGACAACGUUAAAUUUACGUUUAUGCCAUCAGCAUAAACAUGUAACCAGCAAUGAUAUUGAAAUUAAACCUUUUCUACCCAAAGACUGUGCACUACUCGAUGAGGGUCAUAUUGACUCGUUGCACGAUGACAUAGACGAUCUUAAGGUUUAGAAUAUAUGUUGAGAAGCGCAUAAUGAAAUUUAAGCCAAAAAUAUGGCGAUUGUUUUAUAUUCUGGCAUACGAAAGCAUCAUAGAAUACAUCUGAAGUGGAGUGUAGAUGUAUCGCUAUACCAAAAUAUAGAGUUCUUGUAAAAAUUAUUUUUAAUUACAUAUAGCUAAAAUAUUAUAAAUUUAGUAAUAUGAGUAUGAUAUUGUAUACGACGUGUCUUACAAGCAGAAAUUUAAAUUUCAAAAAGCAAAUUUGCGAACUUUUACUUGAAAGUCUUUGCAGCAAAUCUGUUUUUCUACGAUAGGAUGCGCGUUGUUGUUGUUAAAGCAAAAUUUUCUUUAAAAAAUGCCAACUCAACGCAGAACAACCAAAGAUACAAUUUUCCGUCUCAAAACGUGGUGGCCAGUUGCUUUGGUUGGAUGGACUCAAAUAUUUUCGCAAUAAUGAGAACCGUACGAAUUUAUUCUGGCGCUGCCACUGGUACUACAGGCGUAUUCGUUGUCCCGUAUUGAUUUGCAUGAAUAAAUAUGACAGCAGUGACUUUCGUCAAAUUCAUAAACAUCGUCAUGUGAAGUCCAGCAAGAAGCAACACGGUACAAAUGUCGCUCCACUGGAAAUAGCAAACGCACUUCCACCUCAUUUGGCGACAAUCAAUAUCCAAACUGUGGCGGAUGUGGAAAUUGAUAAUGAGCAGGAAAUGCUCACAAUUUAAAAUUCGCAAAAUUAUAACUGUACAUUAUUAAAGUUCAUGUAAAACAAAAGAAAUGAAAACAAAUUUCAUAUUGUAGCUGUUGUGGUAUUAAUAAACAUUUAGGCAUAUUAAAAUAUUCGUUUGCUAACACUUGGAAUGUAUUAAAAAUCGUUCUUGCCAAUGAUGUGGUGCCAAACCCUGAAGAUGUGCUAGUCUUUUUCACGCAAUCGUUGCGCGGUAGACCCGCCAUAAUGGCCAACGGCGUACGUUUUCUAAUAAUGAGUGAAAAUAAGAAAAAGAUACUAUGGCGCUGUAGUUCGAUGGCAACCAAGAAAAUUAAGUGUCCAGCACGGAUCACCAUGAUAAAAGGGAGUCCUCCAAAGUUCAUCAUCAACAAAGCGGAGCAUAUUCAUGCAGAGCUAAAGCGCAACAAAUAUGGAUCGAGCAAACAGGCGCAGCACCAGCAACAUCAUCAUCACCAACAACAGCAACAGUACGAUCAUCAUCAACAGGAACUGAAUCAACAGUGUUACAGUGUGACAGCUAUGAAGGGUGAUGAGGAACAUGAUGUGGAAGUUGAUGGAAAUGUUAAAAUAGAAAUUCUAACACAAAGUAUCAGCAGCUCCACGCUGCAACGUCAGCAACAUCAGUAGAAUGCCUAACAGCAAAAACAAAAAAGUUAACAUCCAUUUAAACAAAAAUAUGCCGGUGAUUUCAACUGCAGUUUAGUUCAAUGAACACUGUCUCUAUUUUAUUGAUAUUAUAUACAUAUAUAUUUGUACUAUGCUAUAAAAUAGAAUAGAAAUGAGAAUUAUGUAAAUAGAGGCGUUUGUUGCUUGAUCACGCACGUUUUUGUGAUACAAAUUUCAUGAAAA